rnacentral:rRNA from 1 species
AUUGAACGCUGGCGGCAGGCCUAACACAUGCAAGUCGAGCGGAUGAAGGGAGCUUGCUCCUGGAUUCAGCUGCGGACGGGUGAGUAAUUCCUAGGAAUCUGCCUGGUAUUUGGGGAUAACGUCCGUAAACGGGCGCUAAUACCGCAUACGUCCUGAUGUAGAAAGUGGUGGAUCUUCGGACCUCACGCUAUCAGAUGAGCCUAGGUCGGAUUAGCUAGUUGGUGGGGUAAAGGCCUACCAAGGCGACGAUCCGUAACUGGUCUGAGAGGAUGAUCAGUCACACUGGAACUGAGACACGGUCCAGACUCCUACGGGAGGCAGCAGUGGGGAAUAUUGGACAAUGGGCGAAAGCCUGAUCCAGCCAUGCCGCGUGUGUGAAGAAGGUCUUCGGAUUGUAAAGCACUUUAAGUUGGGAGGAAGGGCAGUAAGUUAAUACCUUGCUGUUUUGACGUUACCAACAGAAUAAGCACCGGCUAACUUCGUG